GAUGAACGCUGGCGGCGUGCCUAACACAUGCAAGUCGAGCGAAAAGACGAGGAGCUUGCGCCUUUGACGUUAGCGGAGGACGGGAGAGUAACACGUGGAUAACCUACUUAUAAGACUGGGAUAACUUCGGGAAACCGGAGAUAAUAGCGGAUAAUAUAUUGAACCGCAGGGUUCAAUGGAGAAAGACGGCUUUGGUGGCUCUAAUAGCUGGUUCCGAGCCGCAUUAGCUAGUUGGUAGGGUAACGGCUUACCAAGGCUACGAGGCGUAGCCGAGCUGAGAGGCUGAUCGGCCACACUGGAACUGGGACACGGUCCAGACUCCUACGGGAGGCAGCAGUAGGGAAUCUUCCGCAAUGGGCGAAAGCCUGACGCAGCAACGCCGCGUGAGUGAUGAAGGCCUUCGGAUCGUAAAACUCUUUUAUUGGGUAAGAACAGCUGUCUAAUUAACCAUGGACGUCUUGACGGUACCUAAUCAAAAAGCAACGGCUAACUACGUG
rnacentral:rRNA from 1 species